rnacentral:rRNA from 1 species
GAUGAACGCUAGCGGGAGGCCUAACACAUGCAAGCCGAGCGGUAGAGUUUCUUCGGAAACUUGAGAGCGGCGCACGGGUGCGUAACACGUGUGCAACCUACCUUUAUCUGGGGGAUAGCCUUUCGAAAGGAAGAUUAAUACCCCAUAAUAUAAUGAUUGGCAUCAAUUAUUAUUGAAAACUCCGGUGGAUAGAGAUGGGCACGCGCAAGAUUAGAUAGUUGGUGAGGUAACGGCUCACCAAGUCAAUGAUCUUUAGGGGUCCUGAGAGGGAGAUCCCCCACACUGGUACUGCGACACGGACCAGACUCCUACGGGAGGAAGCAGUGAGGAAUAGUGGACAAGGGGUGAGAGCCUGAUCCAGCCAUCCCGCGUGAAGGAGGACGGUCCUAUGGAUUGUAAACUUCUUUUGUACAGGGAUAAACCUACCCUCGGGAGGGUAGCUGAAGGUACUGAACGAAUAAGCACCGGCUAACUCCGUG